rnacentral:rRNA from 1 species
AUUGAACGCUGGCGGCAUGCUUUACACAUGCAAGUCGAACGGCAGCACAGCAGAGGUAACUCUGUGGGUGGCGAGUGGCGAACGGGUGAGUAAUACAUCGGAACGUACCCUGUUGUGGGGGAUAACUACGCGAAAGCGUAGCUAAUACCGCAUACGCCCUGAGGGGGAAAGCGGGGGACCCUAAAUAGAGCGCACUGGGGAGUGCGUUGUAUUUAGGGCCUCGCGCAAUAGGAGCGGCCGAUGUCGGAUUAGCUAGUUGGUGAGGUAAAGGCUUACCAAGGCGACGAUCCGUAGCUGGUCUGAGAGGAUGAUCAGCCACACUGGGACUGAGACACGGCCCAGACUCCUACGGGAGGCAGCAGUGGGGAAUUUUGGACAAUGGGGGCAACCCUGAUCCAGCCAU